GGAGAGCGGCGGCUUGAGAUGCCUUGGAAGAAAGAGCAAACGCUAGAAGCGGCGAUCGAGACGACGAGAGUGAGAGGAUGCAUGUCGAGAGAGAAUUAAGCAAAGUCCUGAUGAAUUUAUAUAAAAUUCAAAUGAUGCUUCAUAUAUAGUUUUCAAUCUGAAACCCAAAACCCUCGCUCUCUCUACCUCUCGUUUGCUGCUCGUUUUCCUCUUUUUUCGCCAUUAAUCGUUGCUCUCUCAACCUCGUGAUGAACAAAUCUGAAGGUUCAAUUCAUCAAUUACUAAUCCUUGUUUUAAUUUUCGAUUAUUUUAUUAGCUUCGUGAAUAUGUUUAAAUCUAAUAUAUUAUAAAAUUUGCUAAAUUUAUAUUGAACAACUCUGUUUAAGUUGCUAUCCGAUUUGAAUCAUUAAUAAUUUUUAUAUAGUUUUUAAGAUUUGAUAUCCAGUAUAUUAUAUGGUUUCUUCAUAUAUACGUUCAAAUCUAAGAAUUUAUAUAGAUUGUAAGGCAUGAUUAUCUGGAUCUCUUAUUGAGUUGUCUUUUUUCUUUUUUUUUCCCCUUCAAGAUAUUCAUUGCAUUAUUAAGAUAUUGUGUUAGUAGGCCAUGAUAGUAGAUAUUGUUAUGUUUUUUGGGUUUUUAUUUCAGCUCUUUUAACGAAUUUACCAUGUUUAAAAUUGACCUGCUUAACCUAUUUAAUUAAAUACGCUUUUUUUACUGGUUUACUGUUUAACCAACCAAGUUGACUUGUUUAACCAAGCUUGGUUUGAAGUGUUUGCUAACCAAAGAGUUGGUAGGCUAGCGGUAACUAGAUCCGUAGUAAAGGUGUUUCUUUCAACCCUGAACUUUUUGCUCAGUAGUGUCUGGUAUAUACGUUUUUGACCUCCCGAUCGGAAAUCUAAAGCUUCGCCACCGGAGGCAGUAGCAACGGAUAGUAGCGGGUGUGCAAGGGGGAUGCCCGUUUGUCGGCCGCACAAGUGGCGACAACUAAAGUGAAUAAGUGGAUUUUUCAAGGGUUUCUUCUUUUCUCCUCUCUAUGUUGCCAUGAUGCAAAAAAGUCUAUGAAGCUUGAAUAUCAAAUGCAAACACAACCCAUAAUGCAAUUGCACACAUUUUUUUUUGUUAGUUUUAAUAUUGGGCUUGAUUAAGCCAAGUUAAGAAGCAAGCAGUUGGGCUUUACAUGUGGGUUUAGAAUUGGGUUCAAGGGUUUGACUGGAUUCGGAUGGCUGGUUCAGAUAGUCUUUGCUACCGGGCCUAUAUAAAUGAUGACAUAUUUUUUUCCCUCCGACCGUCCGACAUUCUCACUCUUGUCUUCUCCGUUUAAUUUAGGGUUCAAUUAGAUGAAACUUGUCUUAUAUCGUUUUAUGUUAGAGAUCAUCAUAUUGUUGAUUCUUGAUUGUUCACUAAUUGUUUUUGUACUUGUAUUUUUGUGCUAG
rnacentral:lncRNA from 1 species